AAAAUUAUUGUCGCGAGAAAUUACUUAUAUUAUAUAUUUUUAAGUAUUAAAAAUGAACAAAGGCUGUUGGAAAUUUGACGAAGAAGACAAGGCAUUGUAUAUAGAUUGGGAAGAAGAUACAGAAGAUGAACAGUCAUCCAAAGAAUUUAGUUAUUGGGAUAGAUUACCCGAUAUACUAUUAGAAGAAAUAUUUUCAUAUUUAACGAUACGUGAACGAUACUAUGCAUCUCUUGUAUGUCGGUCUUGGUAUCACGCAUUUCAAUUGCAAAAUGUAUGGUCAACAUUUACGUUAGAAGAUACAACAUUAACGAGAGGAAAAUUUAAUUAUUAUAGCGGUUGGCAAUAUGUUCUGGAUCAUAUCAGAACGUCGACUUGUCUUAACAAAGUUGGAAAAAAUUUUCGUACUCUUAUAUUUGAACCUAUGUUAAAUUUUUAUAAUUUAUAUGAAUUUAUGAAUAUGAUAUCUUGGUAUACCGAAAGACAAGGAUCAGACAAUACCUCUGUAGCAGGUGUAGGCAUUAAUAUUCGAAGGCUCAAGUUUACAUUUCCUUGUAAUAUGGCAAAUAGAGAUGAUCCUGAUCGUAUUAGACUUUUUGGUACAGGAGGAAAACUACUGGAAGCAUUGAAGAGGCUUAUGAGAAAUUUAAAGAAUUUAAAAUGUUUAGAAUUAAUUGAUUUAAUGCUCGAUAGUAAAGAAGCUUUACAUUUAAUGGACGAUAUUUGUGAAAAUUGUACUCAUACUUUAUCAAAAUUAAUAUUAAUAAAUACUACCAGGUACUACUGUCCGUUGUUACAUGUAGGAGUAUUUCUUAAUUUGAAUAUUCUUGUUAUAAGUCCACAAAAUCUUCAUGAAGAUGUCAUUGAAUUACUUGGACAUACAAGAUUAAAACAUCUUCAUAUCUUGCAGAAUCGAUAUAGUCCAAAGGAUACAACUGUUAGAUUGCCAAAAAGAGCAGCGUGGAUAAAAAUGAGGUCAAAUAAUCCGUAUAUAAAAGUACAUUUUGAAAUAGAAAGUGGUAAACCUACCGAUGUACUUUUACCGAUAGAUCUAUUAGAACAUAGUGCUGUACCGUGUCAUAGUAUAGUUAUAGACAAUCCAAAUACACAGAUUUCACCAUCAUGGAUAAUCACGCAUGGUUCGUUUUUCGAUUCAACGAUUCGAAUUUAUGCAUUCAAGGGAAUAACAAGAUAUUAUUUGCAUAAAAAUUUUUCUAAAAGAUUAGACGAAGCAUUAGUGCAAUUCUGCAAAAUGUGUCCGAAUCUACAUACUCUGGUAGCAUUUUGUGUUUAAACAAACAUUUUCUUGUCAUUUGUGAUAGCUUUCUUCUUAAGCCCUACAUUGAUUGAUGCUAAUUAAUGCCUUAAUUGUGUGAAGAUAUGUAUGAGAAUCUUUGCAGUAUGAAAGACUUUCUUACUGAGUUAGAGUAUGAUUCAUGACAAAAUAUCAACAUCGACGAUAUUAGAAAUAGUUACAACGGCAAAAUUCCUUCGUUGCUUGUAUGUACGACGUAAUGCGGUUUUAAAAAGAUGUGAUGGAGAUUGGUUAAAAAUAUCAUGCUGGACACCGGAACAUUAUCAAUGGAUAAAGAUGAAUAGCCGUAGUUAUGAUAAUACGGAAAGAGAAGUAUCAAAAAUUUUAGGCUACAGAUGGCAUAUGCUAUCUGAAAAAGAAUUCAAGAAACAAACAAUUAAUUUACACAUUUAAUUGAUAUAUUUAGGAUAUAAUAACAUUAUUUAUAUUCGUACAUUAUGUGGGUGAUAAAAAAAAAGUAAGUAGAAUCGAAACGCUGAAGUACAAAUACUAAUAAUUAUUCUUACUAUAAAACCAAAAAAACAUUUAAUACUUUUCAAUUAUUUAUAUCGGUAUAAUUUUUUGCUUAAGGACUGUUCUCAUCUUUUUGGCAUGAAAGCAAAAAUAGAUAUAUUAUUUAUAUAUUCUCCAAAAAGUAUUUGUUAUAGAAUAUAAAGAAAGGACUGCUUUAAAUAUAUAAAAAUAAAGUCUAAAA
rnacentral:misc_RNA from 1 species